AUUUACCCAAAAGAUUAAAGAGAAUGUUUGGUUUCAGGGGGCCUGAAAGUGUAUUUCAUUCCUCCAUACUGCAGGCUAUGCUGGUGUGGCGGGCAAGGUGCAACGCCACAGCAGACUCUGGCAUUGGCGUGGCUCACUAAGAGUGGUCGCGGCAGCGCCACCAGGCGACAGCAGCCAGAGCUGCUGCACCACUUCUGAAGGAGGGCCCGUCGACCUCUGGAUUGGUGGCCUCCAAGGCUCUUCUUUUCAAGAGAAGGCCCAUCCCGAAAACAUGCCACUCUACAAGGUGUUACCACCUUACAACCGCCAAGAACCAGGAGUUGCAGCAGAAGCACCUCAUUUGUUGCGAUCAAUUCAACUUUGUAACCACCCGACAGAUCAAGGGAUUUUACCUAUCCAACAACUACCAAAGAUGACAAGUCACAAGACCGACUCCUCUGCCAAUGUACUCUCUGUUACUACGAAGCAGAAACGCUGUUUGAUCUGGAAAAACACGUCGAGAUCCAUAAGGACGAGCGUACAUUUCAAUGUGAUUUCUGCCCUCAGAGCUUCUGGCGAAAAGACAGAC